rnacentral:rRNA from 1 species
CCCUUAGAUGUUCUGGGCCGCACGCGUGCUACACUGAGUGGAUCAGCGGGUCAGGUUGCGCGAAAGUGUUUCCUAAUCUUGAAAUCCGCUCGUGAUGGGGAUUGACGGUUGCAAUUUUCCGUCAUGAACGAGGAAUACCUUGUAAGCGCGGGUCAUCAUCCCGCGCUGAAUACGUCCCUGCCCUUUGUACACACCGCCCGUCGCUCCUACCGAUUGAGUGGUCCGGUGAGGCUUUGGGAUCUGAGCAAAAAGAGCGUUCCGCUCGUUUGGCUCGGAAAACUCAGUCGAACCUUAUCAUUUAGAGGAAGGAGAAGUCGUAACA